GAGCAAUGUACUUAUUGUGUUUUAUUUGUGUGCUAUCAAUUCCAAGUUUACUUUCCACAGCAGUCACUGAGAGAGAGAGAAGGUAUUUCACUUCAUAGUUCGAGAUUACUCUGAUGUCCGACGGCUGAUUUGCCAGACAAGCUGGGACCGUGGGGGACUUUUAUGCUAGUAUACUUAAAUUACAAACUUAAAUAGUCCCAGUCCCAUAUAUUAUAUCAAGUAUUAUUGGAUGCCGAAUUGAAUUUUAAAUAGGUGCCGAUUUGACUAGAUGCCGAUUUAACCAGGUGCCGAUUUGACUUUUUCUAUGGGUGCCGAUUUGACUUGUACCCAGUAAUCUCGGAACUAUUCACUUCGUAUCUUAUCACCGUUAAUUCUAGGAGGAACCCCAUUUCCCAGUCCCGUAUAUUAUAUCAAAUAUUAUUGGAUGCCGAAUUGACUUUUAAAUAGGUGCCGAUUUGACUAGAUGCCGAUUUAACCAGGUGCCGAUUUGACUUUUUCUAUGGGUGCCGAUUUGACUUGUACCCAGUAAUCUCGGACUAUUCACUUCGUAUCUUAUCACCGUUAAUUCUAGGAGGAACCCCAGUUCUAAAUCUUUAAUUAUUAAUUUCCUUUGGGUCAGUGGGCAUGAAUCCU
rnacentral:lncRNA from 1 species